rnacentral:rRNA from 1 species
GAUGAACGCUAGCGGCAGGCUUAAUACAUGCAAGUCGAACGGUAAGAGAUGUAGCAAUACAUUUCCUAGAGUGACGUACGGGUGCGUAACACGUAUGCAACCUACCUGUAACAGGAGUAUAGCUCGGGGAAACUCGAAUUAACCCUCCAUAAGAUCGUGAAGUGGCAUCACUUAGCGCUUAAAACUGAGGUGGUUACAGAUGGGCAUGCGUCUGAUUAGUUAGUUGGCGGGGUAAUGGCCCACCAAGACGAUGAUCAGUAGGGGAACUGAGAGGUUGAUCCCCCACACUGGCACUGAGAUACGGGCCAGACUCCUACGGGAGGCAGCAGUAGGGAAUAUUGGUCAAUGGGUGAGAGCCUGAACCAGCCAU